AAAAACUGAGGUGGUAUACGAUGGUUCCGCGUCUGAUUAGCUAGUUGGUGGGGUAAAAGCCUACCAAGGCAACGAUCAGUAGCCGGCCUGAGAGGGUGAACGGCCACAUUGGGACUGAGACACGGCCCAAACUCCUACGGGAGGCAGCAGUGGGGAAUAUUGCACAAUGGGGGAAACCCUGAUGCAGCGACGCCGCGUGAGUGAAGAAGUAUUUCGGUAUGUAAAGCUCUAUCAGCAGGGAAGAAAUACUGACCAUAGGGUCAGCAGACGGUACUUGACUAAGAAGCCCCGGCUAACUACGUGCCAGCAGCCGCGGUAAUACGUAGGGGGCAAGCGUUAUCCGGAUUUACUGGGUGUAAAGGGAGCGUAGACGGCAGCGCAAGUCUGAAGUGAAAUGCCAGGGCUUAACCCUGGAACUGCUUUGGAAACUGUGCAGCUAGAGUGCAGGAGAGGUAAGUGGAAUUUCUAGUGUAGCGGUGAAAUGCGUAGAUAUUAGGAGGAACACCAGUGGCGAAGGCGGCUUACUGGACUGUAACUGACGUUGAGGCUCGAAAGCGUGGGGAGCAAACAGGAUUAGAUACCCUGGUAGUCCACGCUGUAAACGA
rnacentral:rRNA from 1 species